rnacentral:misc_RNA from 1 species
AACUUUCGGCAAUGGAUCUCUUGGCUCUCGCAUCGAUGAAGAACGCAGCGAAAUGCGAUACGUAAUGUGAAUUGCAGAAUUCAGUGAACCAUCGAAUCUUUGAACGCACAUUGCGCCCGCCAGUACUCUGGCGGGCAUGCCUGUUCGAGCGUCAUUUCAACCCUCAAGCCCCCGGGCUUGGCGUUGGGGAUCGGCAUCCGGCGGCGGCCCCUCUCGGGACCACCGCCCGCCGUCCCCCAAAUCCAGUGGCGGUCACGUCGCGGCCUCCCAUGCGUAGUAGCAACACCUCGCACCGGAGCCCGUCGUGCCCACGCCGUAAAACCCCCGACUUUAUUUUAGUUGACCUCGAAUCAGGUAGGACUACCCGCUGAACUUAAGCAUAUCAAUAAGCGGAGGCU